GUUUGAGGGGAGACAUCAGGGAUGGUGACAAUUGUCUUGUUGGACUAUUAAUUUUUCCUUUCCCUUUCUUCGCUAUACGUUUGUAUGACCCCAGUGAUUCUGAGAAAUAACUUUACAUAUCUUGGAGUUAGAUAGCUUUCAUGAUAUUAUGAUUUUUUAAAUGUGCAUUUAACAUGCAGAUGCAAAUUUUUGAGGUUGAAGAAGGAUGCAGG